CAGCCGCCGCGGUAAUACGGAGGGUGCAAGCGUUAAUCGGAAUUACUGGGCGUAAAGCGCACGCAGGCGGUCUGACAAGUCAGAUGUGAAAUCCCCGGGCUUAACCUGGGAACUGCAUUUGAAACUGUCAGGCUGGAGUCUUGUAGAGGGGGGUGGAAUUCCAGGUGUAGCGGUGAAAUGCGUAGAGAUCUGGAGGAAUACCGGUGGCGAAGGCGGCCCCCUGGACAAAGACUGACGCUCAGGUGCGAAAGCGUGGGGAGCAAACAGGAUUAGAUACCCAUUAGUCCCUGUCUCUUAUACA
rnacentral:rRNA from 1 species